CUGGUAUUCCUGACCCAGCAUUCCUGCUCUGGCUCAGCACUCCCACACCUGUGGCCCGGUUCCAGUCCUGGUCUCCCAUCCUGGCUAGCUGGUCCCAUGGGUAUUAGAUUCUGGAGUAGAUAGUCCUGCUGAAGAACUACAAAUCUCUGUCAUCACCACAGCAACGUGCGUCCCAUCCAGUUACUUUGCGGCCAAGACCUGGAUUGAUUUGCGACUGCAGUGCCUUCCACACGGGGCUGCCCUUGGAGAUGCCCGAGCCAGGGCAGGAUGUGAGAACGAGACUUCCGGCAGUCCCCCUCCCCUUUUGAACCAAGAUGGCAAACCGGUUCGAUGCAGAAGGAAGUGGUGGCAGAAACAGGUGGCAGCUUUGCAAUUAGAAGCUGGCAAAACGUCAUCACUCUGACACCCCUUGUUUCAAAGUGCCAGUGGGCGCCACACAGAUUUCUUGACAGGGAUAAAGCCAAGAGUGACCUCCUCACCUCCGGGAAGGGGAAAAGACAACAAAGGACACUGUUCGGGCAACCGAUGCAAUCGGAGAGUCAAAGGGUGUGAAAGUCGGAUCCUAAAAGACUGCUGGUCUCCUCCUACCACCCAUCAAAGACAACCUGGUCCCUCCAAGAGAUGGCUGUCUGCACUCUUGAUGGCCACCGUUAAGAUCGGAGCAGAAAUAAAACACAAGGUUGUUGUUUA